rnacentral:rRNA from 1 species
UACGUAGGGUGCAAGCGUUAAUCGGAAUUACUGGGCGUAAAGCGUGCGCAGGCGGCUUUGCAAGACAGAUGUGAAAUCCCCCGGGCUUAACCUGGGAACUGCAUUUGUGACUGCAUGGCUCGAGUACGGUAGAGGGGGAUGGAAUUCCGCGUGUAGCAGUGAAAUGCGUAGAUAUGCGGAGGAACACCGAUGGCGAAGGCAGCUCACUGGGACGGUACUGACGCUGAGACGCGAAAGCGUGGGGAGCAAACAGG